rnacentral:rRNA from 1 species
CCCUUAGAUGUUCUGGGCCGCACGCGUGCUACACUGAGUGGAUCAGCGGGUCAGGUUGCGCGAAAGUGUUUCCUAAUCUUGAAAUCCGCUCGUGAUGGGGAUUGACGGUUGCAAUUUUCCGUCAUGAACGAGGAAUACCUUGUAAGCGCGGGUCAUCAUCCCGCGCUGAAUACGUCCCUGCCCUUGGUACACACCGCCCGUCGCUCCUACCGAUUGAGUGGUCCGGUGAGGCUUUGGGAUCUGAGCGGAAAGAGCGUUUCGCUGUUUCUGCUCGGAAAACUCAGUCGAACCUUAUCAUUUAGAGGAAGGAGAAGUCGUAACA